GACAGGGGUGCUGGGUGCAAGCCCGGCUGAGAUAGAGCGUAACGCCGCUCUGGACCCUCUAUACCUGAUCCGGGUAAUGCCGGCGUAGGAAGGUUUUUAA
rnacentral:ncRNA from 1 species